GCCAGACUCCUACGGGAGGCAGCAGUGGGGAAUAUUGCACAAUGGGGGGAACCCUGAUGCAGCAACGCCGCGUGGGUGAAGAAGUACUUCGGUAUUUAAAGCCCUGUCAGCAUUGAAGAAAAUGACGGUACCUGACCAAUAAGCCCCGGCUAACUACGUGCCAUCAGCCGCGGUAAUACUUAGGGGGCAAGCGUUAUCCGGAUUUACUGGGUGUAAAGGGAGCGUAGACGGCAAGGCAAGUCUGGAGUGAAAGCCCGUGGCUCAUCCACGGGACUGCUUUGGAAACUGUGUUGCUGGAGUGCAGGAGGGGUAAGCGGAAUUCCUAGUGUAGCGGUGAAAUGCGUAGAUAUUAGGAGGAACACCGGUGGCGAAGGCGGCCUGCUGGACUGUGACUGACGUUGAGGCCCGAAGGCGUGGGGAGCAAACAGGAUUAGAUACCCGUGUAA
rnacentral:rRNA from 1 species